CCUACGGGAGGCUGCAGUGAGGAAUAUUGGUCAAUGGGCGCGAGCCUGAACCAGCCAAGCCGCGUGAAGGAUGACUGCCCUACGGGUUGUAAACUUCUUUUAUAAAGGAAUAAAGUGAGGCACGUGUGCUUUUCUGUAUGUACUUUAUGAAUAAGGAUCGGCUAACUCCGUGCCAGCAGCCGCGGUAAUACGGAGGAUCCGAGCGUUAUCCGGAUUUAGUGGGUUUAAAGGGAGCGUAGAUGGGUUGUUAAGUCAGUUGUGAAAGUUUGCGGCUCAACCGUAAAAUUGCAAUUGAUACUGGCAGUCUUGAGUGCAGUUGAGGUAGGCGGAAUUCGUGGUGUAGCGGUGAAAUGCUUAGAUAUCACGAAGAACUCCGAUUGCGAAGGCAGCUUACUAAACUGCCACUGACGUUGAGGCUCGAAAGUGUGGGGAUCAAACAGGAUUAGAUACCCUGGUAGUC
rnacentral:rRNA from 1 species